AGGGGCAUCGGGAUUGAAGCUUGCUUCAAUUGCCGGCGACCGGCGCACGGGUGCGUAACGCGUAUGUAACCUACCUAUAACAGGGGCAUAACACUGAGAAAUUGGUACUAAUUCCCCAUAAUAUUCGGAGAGGCAUCUCUCCGGGUUGAAAACUCCGGUGGUUAUAGAUGGACAUGCGUUGUAUUAGCUAGUUGGUGAGGUAACGGCUCACCAAGGCAACGAUACAUAGGGGGACUGAGAGGUUAACCCCCCACACUGGUACUGAGACACGGACCAGACUCCUACGGGAGGCAGCAGUGAGGAAUAUUGGUCAAUGGACGCAAGUCUGAACCAGCCAUGCCGCGUGCAGGAAGACGGCUCUAUGAGUUGUAAACUGCUUUUGUACGAGGGUAAACUCACCUACGUGUAGGUGACUGAAAGUAUCGUACGAAUAAGGAUCGGCUAACUCCGUGCCAGCAGCCGCGGUAAUACGGAGGAUUCAAGCGUUAUCCGGAUUUAUUGGGUUUAAAGGGUGCGUAGGCGGUUUGAUAAGUUAGAGGUGAAAUCCCGGGGCUUAACUCCGGAACUGCCUCUAAUACUGUUAGACUAGAGAGUAGUUGCGGUAGGCGGAAUGUAUGGUGUAGCGGUGAAAUGCUUAGAGAUCAUACAGAACACCGAUUGCGAAGGCAGCUUACCAAACUAUAUCUGACGUUGAGGCACGAA
rnacentral:rRNA from 1 species